rnacentral:rRNA from 1 species
GGAAAGAGGAUUCGUCCAAUUGAAGCAGAGGACAGUGGCGGACGGGUGAGUAACGCGUGAGGAACCUGCCUUUCAGAGGGGGACAACAGUUGGAAACGACUGCUAAUACCGCAUGACAUAUAGAUGUCGCAUGGCAUUUAUAUCAAAGAUUUAUCGCUGAAAGAUGGCCUCGCGUCUGAUUAGCUAGUUGGUGAGGUAACGGCCCACCAAGGCGACGAUCAGUAGCCGGACUGAGAGGUUGAACGGCCACAUUGGGACUGAGAUACGGCCCAGACUCCUACGGGAGGCAGCAGUGGGGAAUAUUGGGCAAUGGGCGCAAGCCUGACCCAGCAACGCCGCGUGAAGGAAGAAGGCUUUCGGGUUGUAAACUUCUUUUGUCAGGGACGAGUAGAAGACGGUACCUGACGAAUAAGCCACGGCUAACUACGUGCCAGCAGCCGCGGUAAUACGUAGGUGGCAAGCGUUGUCCGGAUUUACUGGGUGUAAAGGGCGUGUAGCCGGGAGGGCAAGUCAGA